AAAAAAAGUCUGACCCCUGUGGUGUCAUUCCUGCCAAAACAGCUGGUGGAGACAAAUGUGACAAGCGAAUUGGACAAUUUCUACAAGGUCUCCCCAAAAGGAUCAAGAACCUUCAGCUGUGGUUUGGAAAACCAUGCAGCUCAAAUGAAGAGGGUGUGCUUUUAAAGUUCCCUGUGGGCCUAUGUAUGUGAUGAUUUACGAAGAGAGAGUCUGCUUACUGAACACAGUGUGCUAAUGCCUCUGUGGGAAACAACAACUCAUAGCUUCUUCCUAAAACCCAAGUGGUGUCACUAGCAUCUCCGGUCUCCUAGCCUGGGGAAAGUUUGCUUCCUGAGGAAGCCCUGGGUUGCGCCUCCUGAAGCUACGCUGCUCAACAGUGAGUGUCAGUUAUUGGCCUCAGGAGCCUGCACCCUCUGUGCCUUCUUACUGUGGUCAUGGGAGGUGCUGGGCCCUGGGCUCAUCUGGGCACACACUCCUUCCCAUUUUGCUUAUUGCUUCAACUUCCGCCAUCAGGAGCCUUCCUUUUUAACCCUUUGUUUGUUUGGUUGGUUUUUUUAUUUUUUGUUUUUUCGAGACAGGGUUUCUCUGUAUAGCCCUGGCUGUCCUGGAACUCACUCUGUAGACCAGGCUGGCCUCAGAAAUCCGCCUGCCUCUGCCUCCCAAGCUUUUUAACCCUUUUUAAACCCUUUCUAAAAAUAGACUUGUAUAUCUCCCUAACAAAUUCAAUCUUUGGCUAUCAUUCAAAGUCACUUUUAUUGUGAACAUUGCUUUCUGAUUCCAGUGGGUAGUGGCCAAGCAAGAGUAGACACAGGAUUUCAAACUUCCUGGGACCCUGUGGAGGCCCACUUUACUCUGAUGAACUCCCCACUGUGAUCAUGGCAGUUAUGGCAAUAGAAAAGUAAGAUAGAAACUGCACUCACUCCGAGAUGCCUUCUAACCUAUUAGACCGGCAAAGAAGAAAAAGGAAGUCUCAGAAGCCCCAAAACAGACUCAACAGACACUCAGAGGCUGUUAAGCAACUGAGCAAACUCCUGGAAAAGGAGUCUGACAUAAGAGAAUAAGAUCACAAGCUGGCAGAGGAGGAACUGAAACACUGCCACGUUCCACUUUGAAAGCACUGCAUUAGGUAUGGUUUUGCCACAGAAUAUCUGAAAUUCUAUUUGACAUAUGUGCGUUGAUGACUUCCUAAAUGGCAGGCACCUGCCAUGUGGCAUGUAGCCAAAACUGCUGUCUGUGACAUCUUCUGUCUCUACCCUGGCCUACUCAGGCCAAGCUGUUUCUCCCCCUGCUGGGAUGUUACUGUGCAAUCUCAUUUCCUGGGAAGAAGAGCCUUUGUUAUUUCUCUCUUGACAACUGUACUUUAACAUCAUUAAACCAUAUGCCUCAUGGAGGGAGAGAGAUAGACAUGCAAGUAUAGAUAGAUAGAUAGAUAGAUAGAUAGAUAGAUAGAUAGAUAGAUAGAAACAGAGAUAGAUAGAUAGAUAGUUAGAAAGAAAGAAGGAAAGAAAGAAAGAAGGAAAGAAAGAAAGAAAGAAAGAAAGAAAGAAAGAAAGAAAGAAAGAAAGAAAGAAAGAAAGAAAGAAGAGAGAUAGAUGACUAGAUAUAUUUGGGGCAAUUGUUCCAUUGUUUCCAUAUGCUUAACAUUGUUUCCAAUGUUAAAAAUCUAAAAAUGUUCAACAUCCUUA